rnacentral:snoRNA from 1 species
AUAUAUGAUGAGAGAAAUAUAACACAGACCUGUACUGAUUCUUUUGAAUGUGCGGAUAAACUAUAUUGCCUAACGCUGAUA